rnacentral:rRNA from 1 species
GUGCAGCAGGCGCGAAAACUCCGCAAUGCCCGAAAGGGUGACGGGGGGUUCCAAGUGCCUACGCUUAGCGUAGGCUGUUCAGGUGCCUAAAAAGCACCUAGGAGGAAGGGCUGGGUAAGACGGGUGCCAUCUGUGGCAGCAGCCAAGAUUUGGCUUGCUACUGCAAGGCAUAAGCCGCCGCGGUAAUACCCGCAGCCCGAGUGGUAGUCGCUUUUAUUGGGCCUAAAGCGUCCGUAGCCGGUCUGGUAAAUGCCUGGGUAAAUCGUGGGGGCUUAACCGUCACGAAUUCCGGGUAGACU